GGGUUGUGAGGUUAAGCGACUAAGCGUACACGGUGGAUGCCCUGGCAGUCAGAGGCGAUGAAGGACGUGCUAAUCUGCGAUAAGCGUCGGUAAGGUGAUAUGAACCGUUAUAACCGGCGAUUUCCGAAUGGGGAAACCCAGUGUGUUUCGACACACUAUCAUUAACUGAAUCCAUAGGUUAAUGAGGCGAACCGGGGGAACUGAAACAUCUAAGUACCCUGAGGAAAAGAAAUCAACCGAGAUUCCCCCAGUAGCGGCGAGCGAACGGGGAGCAGCCCAGAGCCUGAAUCAGUAUGUGUGUUAGUGGAAGCGUCUGGAAAGGCGCGCGAUACAGGGUGACAGCCCCGUACACAAAAAUGCACAUGCUGUGAGCUCGAUGAGUAGGGCGGGACACGUGGUAUCCUGUCUGAAUAUGGGGGGACCAUCCUCCAAGGCUAAAUACUCCUGACUGACCGAUAGUGAACCAGUACCGUGAGGGAAAGGCGAAAAGAACCCCGGCGAGGGGAGUGAAAAAGAACCUGAAACCGUGUACGUACAAGCAGUGGGAGCACAGAGCAAUCUGUGUGACUGCGUACCUUUUGUAUAAUGGGUCAGCGACUUAUAUUCUGUAGCAAGGUUAACCGAAUAGGGGAGCCGAAGGGAAACCGAGUCUUAACUGGGCGUUAAGUUGCAGGGUAUAGACCCGAAACCCGGUGAUCUAGCCAUGGGCAGGUUGAAGGUUGGGUAACACUAACUGGAGGACCGAACCGACUAAUGUUGAAAAAUUAGCGGAUGACUUGUGGCUGGGGGUGAAAGGCCAAUCAAACCGGGAGAUAGCUGGUUCUCCCCGAAAGCUAUUUAGGUAGCGCCUCGUGAAUUCAUCUCCGGGGGUAGAGCACUGUUUCGGCAAGGGGGUCAUCCCGACUUACCAACCCGAUGCAAACUGCGAAUACCGGAGAAUGUUAUCACGGGAGACACACGGCGGGUGCUAACGUCCGUCGUGAAGAGGGAAACAACCCAGACCGCCAGCUAAGGUCCCAAAGUCAUGGUUAAGUGGGAAACGAUGUGGGAAGGCCCAGACAGCCAGGAUGUUGGCUUAGAAGCAGCCAUCAUUUAAAGAAAGCGUAAUAGCUCACUGGUCGAGUCGGCCUGCGCGGAAGAUGUAACGGGGCUAAACCAUGCACCGAAGCUGCGGCAGCGACGCUGAUGCGUUGUUGGGUA
rnacentral:rRNA from 1 species